CGAUCUGAUUGGUUGCUAUGGGCAACUGGGCAACUUUUCUUCUGCACAGGUUUUGAUAAAUCUCCCCCAUAUAUAUGGUGAAUUUUACGUUUGAAAAACGGCCACUAGGGGGUCUCCCUCCUAGUGGCCUGCUGCAGCACGGCGUGACGUCACGCCUGAAUUCGGACCGAUUGUGGACGGGCAUGUGGUCUAAAUUAAUUUACACUGUGCUCACUCCCUGCCUGUCAAUCAGACAGGCGGGAGCGAGUGCAUUGGCUCCCCGGCCACUGGCUGGGAGGCCACUCCUCCCGCACAUGUCGUCGCCGCCGCUGCCCCUGCAUGCCCACUGCCGGACUCUGUAGUAUCAGCAACAGAGACAGAGAAGGGGAACACACAAAAAAAAUGUCCAAAUAGUUUUUGUGGUGACAACUAUAAGACUGAUGGUAGAGAACUGUACAUUAAGACCAGAAGACCUCACAUGGAGCCUGAAACCUUAACAUAUCAUUUCUCCUAAAGAAGUUAAGCAACUGAAAAACAUCGAGAAGAAUUUCUUUAGGUCAUUUCAGAUGCUUGGAAUGUCAUAGAACAUGGGUGAAUAUUUUUUUCUUGAUUUAUCACUCAACAACUAAAAGAUCUAUCUUUGAUCUGUGAGAAAUAAAUGUAU